rnacentral:rRNA from 1 species
UACGAAGGGUGCUAGCGUUGUUCGGAAUCACUGGGCGUAAAGCGCGCGUAGGCGGCUUUCCAAGUCAGGGGUGAAAUCCUUGGGCUCAACCCAAGAAUUGCCUUUGAAACUGGAAGGCUGGAGUGUCGGAGGGGAUAGCGGAAUUGCUAAUGUAGAGGUGAAAUUCGUAGAUAUUAGCAGGAACACCGGUGGCGAAGGCGGCUAUCUGGACGACAACUGACGCUGAGGCGCGAAAGCACGGGGAUCAAACAGG